rnacentral:rRNA from 1 species
CCCUUAGAUGUUCUGGGCCGCACGCGCGCUACACUGAUGCAUUCAACGAGUCCAACCUUGACCGAGAGGUCCGGGUAAUCUUUGAAACUGCAUCGUGAUGGGGCUAGAUUAUUGCAAUUAUUAAUCUUCAACGAGGAAUGCCUAGUAAGCGUGAUUCAUCAAAUCGCGUUGAUUACGUCCCUGCCCUUUGUACACACCGCCCGUCGCUCCUACCGAUUGAGUGUGUUGGUGAGGAGUUUGGAUUGGCCUCGGAAGGUGGUUCGCCACCGUCCGUAGCUGAGAAGUUCUCCAAACCGCCCCACUUAGAGGAAGGUGAAGUCGUAACA